CAGGCUCGGGGAACGAGUUGAUUUGUUUUGAGAUAGUGAAAGCUGUAUUCUAGGAUUUCCAAGAGAAGUAUUGCGUAUACAGCAAGGUUCAACGUAUCUAACUAUUAAUUGUUACAAUACAAUGUUAGUUGGAAAACGUGGUUAUUGAUAUUGCGGGCAAGACCGAGGACAAGAACGUGGUUAUUAUAAAGUGGCCAGAUUUAUUUUACAUGGACUGAUGGACAUAUGCUGAACUGAGUUUAAUAGAAAGGUCUGAAAGGAAUUCAUCGUACCAAUAACCAUUGACAUUGUAAAUACUCGUAUGUUUAAUAUCAAGCCAGGUUGCAGAAUUUUAAAUCGUGCUGUAAACUUUGUGUAUAUCUUGGAUGCUUAGAUUUCAGGUAGGAAUUGAAUAAAUUCAUUGUUAUUUGAGGUUUUAUUUUGAUUUUACCAUGCCACUUCCUGAUGUGACCUGACAGUGCUUGCAAGUUUAUAAUAAUGCGUCAUCGCCCAGAUGUUGGAUGAAUUUGACAAAAUAUUUUCCUUGCUUGCAAUUCUAAUUUCAUUCCAAAAAUAUGGCG